rnacentral:rRNA from 1 species
UACAAAGGGGGCUAGCGUUGCUCGGAAUCACUGGGCGUAAAGCGCACGUAGGCGGAUUGUUAAGUCAGGGGUGAAAUCCUGGAGCUCAACUCCAGAACUGCCUUUGAUACUGGCGAUCUCGAGUCCGGGAGAGGUGAGUGGAACUGCGAGUGUAGAGGUGAAAUUCGUAGAUAUUCGCAAGAACACCAGUGGCGAAGGCGGCUCACUGGCCCGGUACUGACGCUGAGGUGCGAAAGCGUGGGGAGCAAACAGG